CGGACUUUUGGCUGAGAUCCGUGUCAGACUCCUCCGAAUAGUCGUCUGUUGGCAUCGAGGGCUGAACCCCUGAGGUGCUGCAUGAACUUGAGAGCGCGCUCUCGCACGCCAGGCAGUGGUACGAGCCGCCGCCGCCGCCACCACCGCCGCCACUGCCGCCGCCGCCGGUGGGGACGUGAAGCACCAUCUCUUGCAGGUUCACCACAGACUGGCCGAAGAAGCAGAGGGACUUCAGGUGGCUCCUCGCCGCCUCCUCGUCGCCGAAGCCCGCCUGGCACUUGCGGCAGACCAACUUGACCCUGGAGGUGAAGGUCCAAUUUAGCAAAGAUGGCUGGAUCCAGAGAAGAUGUGAGGACAGAGAAGGAGAAACAAGAGAGGUUCUUAGGGUCAAGAAUAAUGGUACUGACCAGGCUGCUUUCCUGCCUCUUCCAAACUGGAAUUCCCAUCUCGAUCUGGAACAGCUGCUGGAAGGAACAUGCUGCUGGGCAUCACCAUCUCAGGAGUGGUCACCUGAGGAGCAAGAGCAAGGACAGUCAAAUGGAGAGGAAAGAGACACAAAAUAGGAAAUGUUUAAAAAUUAUUUAAUAAGCAAAAUUACCCUUCACCAGUAUAAAGCUAGAGGUGUCACUUUUCAUAGCUCACUGAAGAUUCAUGUUUAUUAGACAAAGCUCACAUCAGUCAAAAGUGUUUCUACGGUUACAUUCUGGACAUAAUUAGCAGUGCACACUUGAAGAAUAAUCUUAUUAUUAAUAUUUUUCCUUUAUGCGGAAUUUUGACUUUGAUCACUGACAAUGUUUUGUCAUGGGCUGUGAAACUUCUUGUGCAACCAAUUAGGUAGAUAAGUUGAAAGGCCCACCUUAAGCUGCUGAAAACAUAAUAAGGGCCCUAAUUAAAUCAUACCUAGUAAAGUACACUGUAAUCUUGAAGCAGGGAGCAUUGUAGUACUGUUUUCAAAAUGUAUUCAGGCAAGAAGAGGAGGGAGUAAGAGUGAAGGAAAGGGUAAGAAGAAAAGAAGAGAACAAAGGGAAGGCUAAGGACACGCAGACAUGCUGGCAGAUUUUCCAGGAAACAACAUUUGUAACCCUUUACAAGCUGAUAUCAAGCACAAGCAAGCCUUUUUUUUGUGACUCACUUAA